rnacentral:rRNA from 1 species
UGAACGCUGGCGGCGUGCCUAAUACAUGCACGUCGAGCGAACAGACGAGGAGCUUGCUCCUCUGACGUUAGCGGCGGACGGGUGAGUAACACGUGGAUAACCUACCUAUAAGACUGGGAUAACUUCGGGAAACCGGAGCUAAUACCGGAUAACAUGUUGAACCGCAUGGUUUAACAGUGAAAGACGGUCUUGCUGUCACUUAUAGAUGGAUCCGCGCCGCAUUAGCUAGUUGGUAAGGUAACGGCUUACCAAGGCAACGAUGCGUAGCCGACCUGAGAGGGUGAUCGGCCACACUGGAACUGAGACACGGUCCAGACUCCUACGGGAGGCAGCAGUAGGGAAUCUUCCGCAAUGGGCGAAAGCCUGACGGAGCAACGCCGCGUGAGUGAAGAAGGUCUUCGGAUCGUAAAACUCUGUUAUUAGGGAAGAACAAAUGUGUAAGUAACUAUGCACGUCUUGACGGUACCUAAUCAGAAAGCCACGGCUAACUACGUG